CAAUAGCGUAUAUUAAAGUUGUUGCAGUUAAAAAGCUCGUAGUCGGAUUUUGGCAUCACGCCGAACUGUCUGCCGAUUGGUAAGUACGGUUUGGCGGGUGCUCUCCUUCCGGAGGCUCGUUCCCUUCUUAACUGAAGGGUUCGUUGGUUCCGGGUCUUUUACUUUGAAAAAUUAGAGUGUUCAAAGCAGGCCUAUGCUCUGAAUAGGUUAGCAUGGAAUAAUAAGAUAGGACUUUGGAACUAUUUUGUUGGUUUGCGUUACAAAGUAAUGAUUAAUAGGGACAGUUGGGGGUAUUCGUAUUUCGUUGUCAGAGGUGAAAUUCUUGGAUUUCCGAAAGACGAACUACUGCGAAAGCAUUUACCAAGGAUGUUUUCAUUAAUCAAGAACGAAAGUUAGGGGAUCGAAGACGAUCAGAUACCGU
rnacentral:rRNA from 1 species